GCCAGGCUGGCUCAGCCCGAAGAGGGCGCGAGACUCUUGAUCUCAGGGUUGUGAGUUUGAGUCCCAUGCUGGGUG
rnacentral:tRNA from 1 species